rnacentral:rRNA from 1 species
AACGAACGCUGGCGGCAUGCCUAACACAUGCAAGUCGAACGAUGGCUUCGGCCAUAGUGGCGCACGGGUGAGUAACACGUGGGAACCUGCCUUUCGGUUCGGAAUAACGUCUGGAAACGGACGCUAACACCGGAUACGUCCUUCGGGAGAAAGUUUACGCCGAGAGAGGGGCCCGCGUCGGAUUAGGUAGUUGGUGGGGUAACGGCCUACCAAGCCGACGAUCCGUAGCUGGUCUGAGAGGAUGAUCAGCCACACUGGGACUGAGACACGGCCCAGACUCCUACGGGAGGCAGCAGUGGGGAAUAUUGGACAAUGGGCGCAAGCCUGAUCCAGCAAUGCCGCGUGAGUGAUGAAGGCCUUAGGGUUGUAAAGCUCUUUCGCACGCGACGAUGAUGACGGUAGCGUGAGAAGAAGCCCCGGCUAACUUCGUGCCAGCAGCCGCCGUAACAC